rnacentral:rRNA from 1 species
GGACUACCGGGGUAUCUAAUCCCGUUCGCUCCCCUGGCUUUCGCGUCUCAGCGUCAGAAAGGGUCCAGGGCCUCGCUUUCGCCACGGGCGUUCCUUCCGAUCUCAACGCAUUUCACCGCUCCACCGGAAGUUCCAGACCCCCCUACCCCCCUCAAGGCCGCUCGUAUCGGUGCCCGUUCCCCGGUUGAGCCGGGGGAUUUCAGCAGCCGACGUGGCGGCCCGCCUACACGCGCUUUAAGCCCAGUGAUUCCGAAUAACGUUCGCACGGUUCGUCUUACCGCGGCUGCUGGCAC